UAAUGGGUACAACAAGGACUGGUCGGCUCGGAGUCAGUAUAAUACUGCACUCAGCAGUAUUCUAGCUACACUCUUCAAAUAAAGAAACGCACAUGUGUUUUCAGCAGUUCAUUUCGAUAUAUUUUGACAGCAAUCGUCAUUAAGACAAUGUUUAAAUUAA